CUCUGUUCUGACACAAAUCCUGAAGCUUAAAGACAUUCCCAUUCAACCCAUAAACCCUAAGACAUCGUUUUUAAACAACCCAGCUAUACAGCAGAGCUACUAUGCUAUUCUCCUUUAGAAGCAUCACAUAGCCUCACCAUACUUGCACAAGCAAACAUGCAUCAAGCACCAUAAGGCAAGCAAUCCGGUUCAAACAGGUUAGGUUUCUAAAUCCACAACGAAACAUAAGUGUGGAGAACAACCUAAUUAAUGAUCACCUAACAACCAAACAAACAGACUUUCCACAACAUUCACGUCGACGCAGAUAAGCAGCAGAGGCAGAAGUGGGGAAAUACAUUAGCGCCAACGUUGUUUCAAAUUCGCACACAAGCAGCUUCUCAAAAACCUUAAAAACACUAGCUUACCAAUAAAAGACUCGACCAAACCACGUUACUGCAUUAAUUCCCCAUGCUUACGCAUACAAACAUGACUUACCUUGAUAAAUCCUUAAACAUUUAAUCAAAAUGCAGACCAAAAAAGAAUUGCCCCAAACAAACAAACCCUAAUUUCGCUUCAAUCACGCAUAAUUUUCAAAAACUCAACAUUGCACCCCACUUCUAGGGUUUCCAGAGUAGAAACAGAAUAACUCAAAAGGUAAAGUAAUAAUCACCUGAAUUACGAAAUUAAUAAGCUAGGACACGGCUUUGAGACAAUCAGUGACGACCUAAUUGCACACUCUCUCUCCUAGGGUUUUUUUUUUUUUUGGAAAUCACAAAAAGGAAAUGAAAUUUGCCCUAAAAGAUAACAACUCGUUGGAAAUGUUAGCCAUGAGAGCGAGCGAUUCUGCUUCAAGAAUCUCUCUGUCUAUAAAUCUGUUCUCUCUGCUGUUUUUUUCUCGGUUUAAUUUUUUAUUUUUUUCUUCGUAUUUAUGUGUGUGCUUGUUUUUUUCUUUUCGAAAUCGAAGGGGGUACUAUGCGAGACCUCUCCCUCUCUCCCUCUGCGCGUAGUACUGGGCUUCGGUUUUACGUCACAUGAAGAAGAAGACGACAACAUGGGCUUUUUCGUUUUCAUUGUUGGGCUUUUAUAUAAUUGUUUCAACUUUUUAAUUCGAGCAAAUUUAUAAUUUUUUAUGGACUCGAUAUAUUUUAAAAAAGAUUUUUUAAAAAUAUCAAUUUAAAACUGGAUUUAAAAAAAUUAUAAAAAAUAAUUUUUUAACUAAUAUGUCUAUCCUUGGAUAUAAUUUUUUGGUAUAAUGUUAAAUAAUAAAAUUAUAUUAUCGAAAAUAAAUUAUCUUAAAGGGUCAUAUUUAUCAAUUAACUUUAAAUAGAUGUUAAAUAAUGGAAUCAUUGAAUUAUAUCAUUAUUUUGUUGAUUUAUCAUUAUAAUUAUUGAAUCUAGCGGAUUGAUCCAGAUAUAUAGAUUUUAACAAACUAUAAUAAUAUGGUUUACUGUAGAUUUGUUUGGGUCAACUUCAAAAAAAAAUUAAAAAAAUAAAAAAAUAUAUUAUUUUAAAUAAAAUAAUUAAUUCAAAUUAAUCUGAUAACCUACGAGUAAAUCCGAUCAUUCAUACCUUAAAUCAAGUCUGACAAUUAUAUCUAGUACCUUAUAAUUAAAUAAAAAAAAACAUGGACAUUAUGAGGGACAUCAUGGUCUGUUCAUAUUAUAUGGUGUCGGUUUUUUAAUGGUUUAGUGAGUGUUUGUUUUUACAUUACAACUUACCUUUCAAAAUGUUUUUAAUCUAAAAAAAGCAUAGUUUUGAAACCUGUUCCGGCCUGGCUGGUCGACCCGGGACCCAGCCGAUCCGGGGCUGGAACCGAGUCAGGUUUAAGAAAAAAUAAGGAUAGGAAAAACUCGGGGGUGACCCGGCGGGUUGAUCCAAGGACCUAGAUGACCUGGGGUGAUCCGGUUAAAAACUCGGUUGCAACCCGUUGACUUUUAUUUUUUUUUUUACUAAAACGACGUCGUUUUGAUUAAAAAAAAUUGACCCGAGCAACCCGAUGACCCAGUCAAAACCCGGAACCCGGGCCUUGAACCGGGCCGGGUUUAAAACUAUUAAAAAAAACAUCAAAUUGAUUUUUUGGAUGGUUUUAAUGUGUCAAAAAUUUAAAAAAAAAUAAAAAAACAUUAUUUUAAUAAAAUCUUAAUUGAAAAAUAUUUUUAAAAAUCAAUCUACACUACAAUACCAUACACUCCCAUGAUACCAUUAAACCACACAACAUCUUACGCACAUACACUGUAUAUAUAAUUUUCAACCAAUCAUAAACUCUCAACUUUGCAAAGUAAGUAAAUCAUGUAUUUGGCACUUUUGCCAUUUUAGGGGGAAAAACUGUCUGCUCAAAUUAUAGUAUUUUUUAUUUUCUUCUUGCUUUUGGUGCAUGAUAGAGAGGAAAAGAUAAUAAUUUCCUAUCAUCACAACUAGGCAUGAACCUUUUGACACCUCGUGCAUCGGAAGAAAUUAUCACAAAUAAAUUUAUCGAUUAAUCAUAAAUUAGUUUUUAUAAUUUAUGAAAAUAAUUUAAUUAAUCUUUAUUUUAUGAUAAUUAAUUUAAUAAUCCAUGUGGUUUUGUAUUUGUUAUUAAUUUGCUGAACUUGUUAAACUUCUGUAGCAAGGCAUCGAUGCCUUUUCUAUUUUAUUUUCUUAUCAAAUUUUCAUACUUUAACUAUUAUUUUCUCUUUUUUAUGCUAGCUUUCAACAAAUAAAAACAUUGAAAUUAGAAAAAAAAAUGAAAACAAAUAGCAAGAAUUUGAAUGAUCAUCAACAUUACAUAUUGAAAUUACCCUGAAUGAGAUGGCAUCUAGAUUUUUUUAAUCAAAAUCAAAGAUUUUAUUAAUCCUUUUCCUAAUAUAAUACUUCAUGUUCUAACAAAAAUCUACAUAUGUUUAGUAAGGGGAAAUACUAUAAGUAUGAUAGAGAGAAAAAAAUAACCCAAUUAAAGUGACGCGUGAGUUAGGUAAUACAUAUAAGAGUUAUUAAAUAUGGUUCGACCUUGUAGACCAACUCAAUAAUUCAAUAACCUCGAAUCUGAUUUAAAUCGAGUUUUAUAUUAAAUUAAGCUGAGAAUUGAUCCGAUUAACCUAACAUAUCAAUUUAUAGUCAAAUCAAAACUUGGGUAAGAUUUGGUUCAACUUUUAAAUAUUUUUUCAAAGCUAUAUCGUUUUAAGCUUUAAAAAAACUUCAAAACAAUAUUGUUUUGGAUUAACUCACUUAAUUCAUGAUCCGAUCCAGGUUUUAUAACUAUAAAUAUAUCAAAAAAGAAGAAGAAGAAGAAUGACAACCUUUAUAUUCAUCACUCUUUAAUUCUUUUCCUUUUUUUUCCAUUUAAAAUGAGGUGAUCCACAACCAAAGAGGGCAAAAGCUUGACAAGCAAACAUGCCACGGGGGAGUUGAUGAGACAAAGAGGAUCACUUGCUUACGUGAACUUGUUCAAAUAAUUCAGCAGCCGGCACAAUGCUAAGUUCAAACACUAAGGAUAUCGAGAUUUCUUUCUAAUGACAACAUCAAAGAAAGAAAUGAGCAUGAUAACAAGAGAAUCAAGAGAGAUGGAUAAAAAUGAUGAUAGAAAAAACAAAAUCAAGGAACAACAUUAAGUUCUCUAAAUAUUAAUUUUUAUUUAAUGAUAGAAUUUAUAAAAGGAAAAAUGAUUUUACUUAUUAAGUGAGAACUAAGGAUAAUAGAAUUUUGUUAAUACAUCCAACAUGCUUUUCAAUGAUAACAUUGAAGAAAGAAAGGAGAGUGGUAGCUUGAGAAUCUAAGAGAGGGGAGGGGGUAAAAUGGUUAUGGCAAAAAAAAAUUAAGGGACAAAGUUAAAUUCAUAUGAACAUUGUUUUUUAUUUUAUUAUAGUAUUAAAAAAAUUGUUGUUAAGCGUGAACUAAAGUAGGCAAGUAAUGAUGUAUAAGAAAAUCCAAAUAGUUUAGGAAUAAUGUUUGUGUGUUGGAUGAUUGGUUAAUCUUUUGAUUCUAGCAAUUUGAUCAAUUCUUUCUGGCUAAGGUGCUUGGUAGACAAAAGUACUUGGUAGUUGGUACCUACAAAAAAUCACAUUUGAUAGAUCCGAGGACUUUUAAAUGUUUAAGUAAGCAUUUUUUUUCUAAAGAGAGAAAACAAUGAUAUUUUAGAGAGAGAUGCUCUAAAAAUAUGUAUAUAGUAGAGAAUGAAGAUUGUGAACCUGGAGCUUGAAGGAUUCAUGAGGUAUUUAUAGCUCAUGGGUCUUAUUCUUUUGUUGAGAUAAGGGGCUAAAAUGUAAUUUUACCCUGAUAGUUUUAAUGAGAGAUAAAUAUUUCUAACAUAUGCAUUAACGGGGGAUAAAUAUAUCUUACACAAAUAUUAAUACGAUGGAAAUAUCAUUAGUCAUUGUGAGAUUUUUAUACAUUAUCUCUUACACAACAUUAAUGUUGAUGAAAAAUAUGAUAGGCCCUAGAAGAUUUUUAUACACCUAAAGAUGAUAGGGAUGGUACAAUAAAAAAAAUGUAAUGAGUUCAUGGAAGCUGGGCUCUUUCCCCAGGUCGAGCCCAUGAGGGGUGGGCUUUUCCCCUGAGUUAAGCCAUUGAGAGUUGGGUUCGGACACGUUGCCUGAAACCUUGAAUUUUAGGCUUUUAAUGAGGGUUUAGGCCCGAUAAAUUUUGGUUUAUCAGUAGAAAUUGGAGAUUUCUUAAGAAACUAAUCCUCUAAAAUUUAGUGAUAUAUUAAAAGGCCUUAACAUUUUACUAUAGCAAUGAACAGUGAAAUGCUAAUGCCUUUUAUAAUUUGGUCCUCAAGUUUUUUUAUAUAAUUUCAUUCUUUAAAAUUGGGUUUAAUGUGUAUUGAACUUCAUAAUUUAUUUUGAUUCAUUUUCUAUAAAUUUAUCAUAGUCUUAUGAUCUACAUUUGGUAAGUUAACCCAAUUAACUCGGGUCAUUUUUUUUGCUCUUUUUUUUAAUUGAUUUAUUUCUCAAAUUCAUCAUUUAGUAUUGAGUUUAUUGUGAAUUCGGAUUCAUAUUUUUUCUUCUUUAUAUGGGGUUAUUAAGGUUUCAUGACCAGAGUGUCGAGCUUUGUGGGGUAAUUGGGUUGGCUUGGGUUUUUUUUUGUCCUUUUUAAUUGAAUAUUUUCUUUUCAAUUUCAUCCUUCAACAUUUGGUAGAUUGAGAAUUGGACUUUAUAAUUUUUAUUUAUUUUCUUUCUAUUAAGUUAUCCUAGUAUCAUUAUUCAAGUUUGACAAGUUUAACCUAGGUUAACCCAUGAUAUUUUUUUUAUAUUUUUCUUAAUAUAUUUUUUUCAAUUUAAUCUUUUAAAAUUGGGUUGAUUGAGAAUUGUGCUUCAUGAUUGAUUUACGUUUUGAUUUUUAUGGGGUUAUCAAGGUCUCAUGACCCGAGUUACGAGUUAACCCAGUUGCCUUGGGGUUUUUUUAUCCUGUUUUUAAUUUAGUUUUUUUUUUUUAAUUUCAUCCUUUACUUUUGAAUUAUUUGGGAAUCAGGCUUCAUAAUUUAUUUCGGUUUGCUUUCUAUGCGGUUAUUUCAGUCUCAUGACUCAGGUUUGAUAGAUUAACUUGGGUUGACUCGAUUUAUUUUCUAACUGAAUUUUGUUUUCAAUUUCAUCCUUUAAUAUAGAGUUAAUUGAGAAUUGGGCUUAAUAUUUUUUUCCGUUUGUUUUUAAUAAGGUUAUCAGGGUCUUAUGACCUGAAUUGCAAAUUUAACAGGUUAAUCUGAGUUGAUCCAAGUAAAUCCGAGUUGAUCCAAGUAAAUCAUAGUUGAUCCAAUAUGUUAUCAUCUCAAUAUUUUAAAAAAUAUAUCGUCUUGAGUUUCUUUAGCGAAAAUAUAUUUUUAUCGGUCAUUUGGGUUUUUUUUGGGCCUACAAAGUCAACUAUGUCAUAUCAUGUCAAUCUACACAUAAUUUAUUUUUUUCUGCUAAAAUACAUGUUAGCAACAUCUGAAUAAUUUUUUUUACAUUUAACAAAAUUUUGAUCUGACUCACAGCAUAGCGCGGACAAUUACCUAGUGCUUUACUAAAAGAUGUUGUAUUUAUUGUAUUUUUUAUUUUAACUUUUGUCAAUUGCGAUUUAUUUAUUUAUCUUAUACUUUUUAAAUGAUAUUGAAAUAUUUUAUAACUUUGAAAAUGAAAUUGAAAUUCAUAUAUGCUUGUCUUCUUAUCAUUCUUAAUGGAAAAGGAGGAUAGUGAAAAAAAUUGAGAAAAAAAAACAUAUUUAAAAAAUAUAGAAUCUAAUUAAAAUAAAGAAAAUUGAAAUUGAAAUUGAAACAACAAAAAAAAACCAGACUUUAUAAAGAUAGAGACUUGAGCACCUCCAUCGAAACUCAACCAAAAAGUGAAUGCAUUGUGAAAAUCUAAGCAAUCUAAUGGUAGGCAUUAUUGUAACAAGGCUUGAAUUGGCCCAUGAGUUGAUUCAAGACCACCGACUUGGAAUUUGAACUAGUUUAAGUUGAAAAAAAAAAAUUUCAAUUGACUUAGUUAAAAAUUUAAUUUUCAAUUAGUUGAGUUUAUUUUUAAAAAAAUUAAAAUUAAAAUAAUAUUAUUUUAAUUAAUUAAAAAAAAAAGAUUUUGAAGCUAUCACUUCUAACUUGUAACCUAGAUGGGUAUUAUAACUAUGGUAGGCAUGAUUGACAUAGAGAUGACAACGAUGUAGACCAUGUUAAUGAAUGCAAUGGAGUAAAAUGAUUUUAAUUUUUUAACUAACUUGUAAUUACAUGGAAUAAUCACAUGUUAAAAUUAACCUUAAUAAUUGCUUCUGUUGUUGCACUAGUUAUUAAGCUACUGCUAAUGUCAUUAAUAAAUCUUUGAUGUAACUUUUUGAUUUUUGUGUUUUUUUUAACUGUUAAUCCCAGCCCGAGAAAAAAACUGGGUCACACACCUAAGUUAACUCGGAAAAACUUAAAAAUAUAUUCGAGGUUUUAAUAUCUCACAUGAAAAAUUAAAAAAAAAUCAAUAUAUAUUAAAAUAAUAAAGUUUAAUAUCCUUCCAUAUUGUUUUAUUUCUUUUUAAUUUAGCUCUUAUUUUUUUGAUUUUUUUUAUUUUGUUAAAGUUUUUUUCUUUUCAAUUUAACUCUCCAAUUUAAAAUUUUUGAUGCCCUAAUUAUCAUCGGGACAAUUUGAAAAUAUAUAAAACAUGUAAGACCAAUAGUAGCUCUGAACAAUAAUGAACGGCGAUAUAAAAUGUCAUGUUGCAUGGCACCAUGCUCUGAUAGUUGUAUUGAUGCAAUAGUGCAAGGCUGGUUGUGAUCGAAACAUAAAGUAAUCAAUUAUUGCAAUCUGAUACAUUUAUUUCAAGCUCUCAACUCGCUUCAACUAAACAUGCAAUACCUAUAUUAUCACCUUUACUUCUAAUAAAGACUCAAGAAAGCACCAAAUUAAGUAGCUGAAACCAGAUUGAGACAGAGACAUGCCAAGUCAACCUUCGGAUGCACCAGGUUAAUGGCGUUUUUUCCCAGUAGCUACUUCCCAACCUUGUAAAAUGUGGUUCACAAUUUCCUCUAUGCCAAGUCCAUGCUUCACCUGCAGGUACAUUAUGAACAGCAAAGGAAAUAAGCGCAACUUUAAGAGAAAGGUUAUAGACAUAGGUUGUCUCACUGUAUACAGAGCAGCUCACGGCCUGGCAGACCAAAGAAUUAAAUCGUUCAAGAACCAAAAAUAUGAGAAGAUGACAAGUCCACAAGCAUUGAAUAGCUGGAUAGGGCAGGGUCUCUGUAACUAAAGGAUAGCCUAAACAUAAGCCAAAUUCGGAAGAGAGAACUGUGAAAUAACCAUCAUAAGAGGAAAAAGCCUAGAUUUCCAUAAACAACAGCAGAAGAAAGGAAAGAAUAUCUUAUUGAGGCAGAGCUAUUUGUUUCACUAAACAUGCCAUGACCAAUCGGAAGUGGAAUGUCUAGCUGUACACCAGGAUGGAAAUAUACGGAUUGAGUAUAUUUCCAAACAAACCGUAAAAUAGAUCAAUUCAUUGUGCAUAAAUCUGCAUAACAUUUCUUGGAAGCCCACAUGUUAUACGGCAAUUGUGAUUCACCUAUUAUGUUGUGUGUGCGCAUGAGUGUGUAGACUAGACUUAAAGACCCAAAAAGGCACCAUUAUAGACCCUCUUUUGACUGUGCAGAUGUCAUUCUUUAUGAGUAGAAGCGGUGAGGCAGUGUUAUGUGCUAGUGAUGCUGCAUUGUAGGAAUCAACAGAGAAAGGCAUGGGAGGAGGAGCGGACAAUCUGGACAGGGGAUAACAGGAUAACAUGGUGAAGGGUGAAGACUUGAGCAUUGUAUAGGGUGGAAACCCUAAUUCCUUCUGGGAUGCUCCAUGAAUACUCUAGAGAAUGCCCCAAUCAGAUGGUAGCACAUGCAAUCCCUCAGCAUUGGAGAGACUUGGUGUUAGUACCCUCCAUUGCUCAAGCUGACCCCUGCCACAACGUUCUCAGCUGUCAACACUGUUUACACCAUCUCCAACUCUCUCUAUUGCAUUCUUUCCUGUACUACAACAUCACAAGCAUACAACAAUGCCUCCCUGCUUCUAUUUAGAAAGAACCCGUAUCACAAGCAGUGUGGUCUGGCACUUCAAACACAAACUGGGUUGGUGAAAUUUGGCGUGUUCUUAAGAUUCUAUCAAUUUGUAUUGUUUCAUUUCUUUUCUUUUCUUAGGAUUGAUCUCCUAAUUCAUAUCUUUUCUUUUCUUAAAAUUGAUCUCCUAUUCUAUGUUGUAUCUUCCAAAGCUUUAGACAACAAAUUACAAGAUUGUCGCGAGCUUGCCACAAACAAAUGCAAUCAAACAUGAGAAACAGAGUGCCAAACUGACCUGAGCAAAAACAAAUGGCCCUCCAUCCCGCAUUCUAAGUGCAUCACGCUCCAUGACAACCAAGUCAGCUCCAACUGCUGGUGCAAGGUCAGUCUUGUUGAUAACCUAGGAUUGUACACAAUUAAUUCGGACUUCCUGGUAAUUUUACAUUUCUAUACUUGGCCAACAAGAUUGAGUCUGAGAGAUUGGGAACAGAAGAAGCAGCUAUGAGAAUGAGAAAACAUACAAGGAGAUCAGCUUGGGUGAUGCCUGGGCCACCUUUCCGAGGAAUUUUAUCACCGCCAGAUACAUCUAUUAUAUAGAUGAUAUAGUCAGCCAGUUCCCUGCUGAAGUUGGCAGCCAAAUUAUCUGCACCAUACAAGUUCAACUAGAUGAUUUCCUUUGCUAAUCGAUACAUAAGUGUAUACAAAUAAAUUUGUAAGGCAGCAGUACUCUUCUUACUAAAACUCAUCUGUCAACAUGUUAGAAAUAGAACUGCCAAAAUUCUUCAUCACUAUCUAACUUCUGAGAUCCUUACUUGAAUAAAAACAACUUGCCUGGAGUAAUAUACAAUAAAAUUAACUUUGAUGUUCAGCGAUCAUCAAUUUAAUGUCAGUUUACAGCCACUUAAAUAUGUAUGGUGGUAUUCAGUAUUGAGUUACCUCCACCAGAUUCACAAAGAAGAAGGUCUGCUUUGAACAAGUUAGAAAGCUCCUCGAGAGGGCCAAGGUUAAUGCUGAUAUCUUCACGAAUUGCAGCAUGUGGGCAGCCUCCAGUUUCAACAGCACGGAUCCUCUCCUCAGGAAGUGCUCCAUGCUUAAUCAAGAACUCACCAUCCUCUUUCGUGAAUAUGUCAUUUGUUACCUAAAAUAACCAUAUAGCUCUCCAGCACUUAAUCAAUCUCUCAAUCUACAUGGCCAUGCAUUUAAAACUAUUGACGAUAGAAGAGAACACAAAUUAUGCCUCAUCUGAAAAUUUUAGGUGAAAAGCUCUUAGUUGAGCCCGCGUUAUUUUCUUCUGAAAUUUUAGGCAAAAAACUCUUAGUCUAGCAACUUUGAGGCACAAGUAUGAGGAUCAUUUACAAAGAUUAAUAGCUAUUUACGAAUUAAUGUUUACAAAGAUCCAUAAACAAAAGAACAAUGAACUCCUUUCAGGGCUGGGCUGCAGCUGCUAAUUUGCUGCUUGAGAUAAAACUGGGUUCAUUAAGCUGGAACGUUUACGUUUAACAAGUUUGACAUUCAUAAUAAUCAAUAACUUCAAAAUCAAAUUCAACAAAAAAAUAAAUCUCAAGAACAAUUAGCAAAAAAAAAUCUCAGAAUCCCAUCUUAGAUUAUUACUCACAGCAGCAAGACUGUACUUGUCCCGCAACAAUUUACACAAAGACAGCAUCAAAGCUGUUUUCCUGACCAGAACAAAAAAUAACAUUCAAUCAGCGAUUAACACCUAGAAUUAAGUGUAAAAAGAAUUAGAAGGGAAAAUAGAGAGAUACCCAGUACCCACAGGGCCACCAAUACCAACAGUGAAAGCUCUUUCAUUGAAAUCCCUUGUGAGGAUUGGUUGUGCUCUCCUGCUAAAGAAGCCAGGAGAGUAUAUGGGCUCAUGUGAAUGUGGUGCUAGUCCAUCAUGGCUAUGGUACACCCUCCCAUCUGGGCCUACCCUUGAUGAUGUUUUCCUGCUCCAUUAUCAAGAAUCACACUUCUAUAAAUAUAUAUUUCAAACCCUGAAAACAACAAGAACGAAUGGAAUGAAUUGGAGAUAAGAAUCUUACUCAUCAUGGGUAUGGUCAUGCUGAUGGUGGUGGUGAUCAUGGUCAUGAUGGUGGUGGUCGUGGGUAUGGUGAUCUUGUGAAGCCAUUGAUUGAAGUCUGCAAAAGAGUUCGCCGUCGUGACUUGUGAGGGUACAAUAUGUAAACCAAGAACGCAGGAAAUGAACCUUGGUGCUGACAGCUGAGACACGUGGAUGGCAAUGACAGUGCUAGAGUGUUUAAAAAUGAUUUUUAAAAUUUUUAUUUUUUUAAAUUAUUUUUUAUAUAUAAUUUUAGAUUGUUUUGAUUUUAAUUUGUAGAUAUUAAAAAUAAAUUUUAACAAAAUAUUAUUUUCAUAUAUUUGUUUCGGGUCUGGAUGCACAACUGGGUGUCACUUUCGAGUUUCGACUUUGUUUGCAGCUUCCAAUUAAACGAUUGCGGGAACAAGUUUGUGGAAGGGGAGAUAGAAGCCAUAGUUUUUUUCUUUUCUGGGACCAUAUUACAGCAACAACAGCAGAGAAAGCGAGAUUGUAAAAGCAGAAUGAGAGACAUCCAUAUCAGAAAGGUAAUGUGACAAAAGCUAUCAAGCAUCAACAUCUCAUCACAACAAAUUAAGAUGUCUUAAUAUUAUAUAUUCCACCUUUGUUCCACAAGCUCGAUGAGCUUCAGAGGCAGUAUGACAUCAACAUGCUUGUGUCCAUGAACUGACCCAGUAAAUAAGUACUGCGUACAAGAAAAUAUGCAGGAACGGAAAUUUACACAGCAGCUUCAAAAUCAUUUCUUUAAAAUAGAUAAAGAAUUCAGUGAGCGUGCAUUUAGAGCAAUUUUACAGCAGCUUCAAAAUAGAAAAAAGGGAACGAAAGAACUUGCAUUUAGAGCAACUUUACAGCAAUGCCUCACGCCAUGGAAGUAUGAGUGCUGAAAAAAUAUGCUAGCUAGCCCCCUUGUUGUCCAAAACAGAUAUUUGAUGAAUGCCAAGAGGUUAUGGUAGAAAAUCCAUAAAAUAAAAUUCAUUGUUUUUAAAACAAUCUCCCCUCCACUUAAAAACACGAGAAAUAAAGCGUGGAUACAUCAAAUUUCAACAAACGCUCUUAUUCUCAUAUAAAAUUCUUCGUCACUAUUAUACAUUUUUUCUCUGUUCUGACACAAAUCCUGAAGCUUAAAGACACUGUCACUCAACCCAUAAACCCUAAGAAAUCGUUUUAAAACAACCCAACUAUACAGCAAAGCUACUAUGCUAUUCUCCUUUGCAAGCAUCACAAAGCCUCACCAUACUCGCACAAGCAAACAUGCAUCAAGCACCAUAAGGCAAGCAAUCUGGUUCAAACAGGUUAGGUUUCUAAAUCCACAACGAAACAUAAGUGUGGAAAACAGCCUAAUUAAUGAUCACGUAACAACCAAACAAACAGACUUUCCACAACAUUCACGUCGACGCAGAUAAGCAGCAGAGGCAGAAGUGGGGAAAUACAUUAGCACCAACGUUGUUUCAAAUUCGCACACAAGCAGCCUCUCAAAAAACCUUAAAACCACUAUCUUACCAAUAAAAGACUCGACCAAACCACGUUACUGCAUUAAUUCCCCAUGCUUACGCAAACAAACAUGACUUACCUUGAUAAAUCCUUAAACAUCUAAUCAAAAUGCAGACCAAAAAAGAAUUGCCCCAAACAAACCCUAAUUUCGCUUCAAACACGCAAACACGCAUAAUUUUCAAAAACUCAACAUUGCACCCCACUUCUAGGUUUCCAGAGUAGAAGCAGAAUAACUCAAAAGGUAAAGC
rnacentral:lncRNA from 1 species